rnacentral:rRNA from 1 species
GGUCAAGUUAUUAAGGGUGCAGGGCGGAUGCCUUGGCACUAGGAGCCGAUGAAGGACGUGAUAAGCUGCGAUAAGCUUCGGGGAGUUGCACGUAAACUUUGAUCCGAAGAUUUCCGAAUGAGGAAACUCACUUAGAGUAAUGUCUAAGUAUCAUUAAGUGAAUACAUAGCUUAAUGAGGGGAACUCAGGGAACUGAAACAUCUAAGUACCUGAAGGAAGAGAAAGAAAUUCGAUUCCGUAAGUAGCGGCGAGCGAACGCGGAUUAGCCCAAACCAAUAAAGUUUUCUUUAUUGGGGUUGCGGACAUAUCAUAACGAAGAGGUAUCGUAAUUGAAGAGGUUUGGAAAGACCCACCACAGAAGGUAAUAGUCCUGUAUGUUAAACGAGAAGACUUCAGAUAUGAUCCAGAGUACCACGGGACACGUGAAACCCUGUGGGAAGCAGGAGGGACC